UACGUAGGGUGCAAGCGUUGUCCGGAAUUAUUGGGCGUAAAGAGCUCGUAGGCGGUUUGUUGCGUCGGCUGUGAAAUCCCGAGGCUCAACCUCGGGUCUGCAGUCGAUACGAGCAAACUAGAGUGUUGCAGGGGAGACUGGAAUUCCUGGUGUAGCGGUGAAAUGCGCAGAUAUCGGGAGGAACACCGGUGGCGAAGGCGGGUCUCUGGGCAACAACUGACGCUGAGGAGCGAAAGCGUGGGGAGCAAACAGG
rnacentral:rRNA from 1 species